GCUCGAAAAUGUUAAAGUUCUUAUUUCAUGGUAUAACUUUGGUAUGCUUGGACCUAGAGUCUUCAAACUUGACAUGAAGGUUGGCCAGGAUUAACAGAUGACCACUGGUCAUUUCAAGGUCAUUCAUUUGAAGGUCAAGGUCACUGUGACCUUCAAUAUAAAAAAUGUUAAAGUUGUUAUAACUUUGGUAUGCUUGGACCUAGAGUCUUGAAACUUGACAUGAAGGUUGGCCAUAACUAGUUAGUAACCACUGGUCAUUUCAAGGUCAUUCAUUUGAAGGUCAAGGUCACUGUGACCUUGAAUGUAAAAAUGUUAAAGUUCUUAUUUCAUGGUAUAACUUUGGUAUGCUUGGACCUAGAGUCUUCAAACUUGACAUGAAGGUUGGCCAGGAUUAACAGAUGACCACUGGUCAUUUCAAGGUCAUUCAUUUGAAGGUGAAGGUCACUGUGACCUUCAAUAUAAAAAUGUUAAAGUUGUUAUAACUUUGGUAUGCUUGGACCUAGAGUCUUGAAACUUGACAUGAAGGUUGGCCAGAACUAGUAAGUAACCACUGGACAUUUCAAGGUCAUUCAUUUGAAGGUCAAGGUCACUGUGACCUUGAAUGUAAAAAUGUUAAAGUUCUUAUUUCAUGUUAUAACUUUGGUAUGCUUGUACCUAGAGUCUUCAAACUUGAAAUAAAGAUUGGCCAGUACUAGAAGAUGACCACUGGUCAUUUCAAUGUCAUUCAUUUGAAGGUCAAGGUCACUGUGACCUUCAAUGUUAAAAUGUUAAAAUUUUUAUAUGCAUUCAAAACAUAACACAAGGUUUGCUCAUGCCUUGAAAAGUACUUACAUUUCAUUUUGACCUUUGAACAAUAUUUCAGUAAUUUAAGUAUUGCAUUGACAAAAACACAAAAGGUACUUUCCUGUCAUUUAAAUCAAAAAUCCGGCUUCAAUGCGGUCAUCUCCGACCGCGGAACUCUUGUUUAUAAUU